GCUUCGCCACUCACACACUCACAGUUGACAGGGCUUUAUCGUAGGGGUUUAGGGUCUUUCCAGAGGUACUUUUAUGACCGUGGUGGUAGUUUGACCCUUCUUCUGUACCCUGAACCUAAAAAAAACACCCAUGAAAACCCCGAUUGAUCUCCUUUUCGUUGGGGACCCUUCUCAAACGCUUCGCCACUCACACACUCACAGUUGACAGGGCUUUAUCGUAGGGGUUUAGGGUCUUUCCAGAGGUACUUUUAAGACCGUGGUGGUAGUUUGACCCUUCUUCUGUACCCUGAGCCUAAAAAAACACCCAUGAAAACCCCGAUUGAUCUCCUUUUCGUAGGGGACCCUUCUCAAACGCUUCGCCACUCACACACUCACAGUUGACAGGGCUUUAUCGUAGGGGUUUAGGGUCUUUCCAGAGGUACUUUUAUGACCGUGGUGGUAGUUUGACCCUUCUUCUGAACCCUGAACCUAAAAAAAACACCCAUGAAAACCCCGAUUGAUCUCUUUUUCGGCCUUUGGAAGUAGUUGACAACAGGGGCAAAGGAAAACGGGGUCCAGCCAUGCGAAGGUUUCUGUGAAUGGGGCGGAGGUAGCGUGACGUCAGCUAGAGCCGUAAUACAUAUACAGAGAGAGAAUUAUCGCUCAAUGAAUUAUUAAAACACCUGAAAACUUUGUCACGAUCUUAAGAAACCGUAAAGUGCAUGGUGGUAACUAUAGGCACUUUUCCGUAGCUAAAUGAAUGCAAUGAUUCCUAAAAGUCGUAAAGCGAUCGAAGAACAUGACUUUGUACAGGUGGCAACACUCCUCUGACGUGCAUCAAAUAAAAUUUUCCUACAUUUCUUUCCUCGUUGUCUCGCGGUACACCUACAUAUUUUCCUCCCCCCCCCCAAA